rnacentral:miRNA from 1 species
CCCAGUGAUGGAGAGGUCUGAUC